UACGUAGGGUGCAAGCGUUGUCCGGAAUUAUUGGGCGUAAAGAGCUCGUAGGCGGUUUGUUGCGUCGGCUGUGAAAUCCCGAGGCUCAACCUCGGGUCUGCAGUCGAUACGAGCAAACUAGAGUGUUGCAGGGGAGACUGGAAUUCCUGGUGUAGCGGUGAAAUGCGUAGAUAUCUGGAGGAACACCGGUGGCGAAGGCGGCAUCCUGGACCGGUAUUGACGCUGAUGCGCGAAAGCCAGGGGAGCAAACGGG
rnacentral:rRNA from 1 species